AUGGAGAUAGCACUUGGAAAUGCUGGGAAGAUUGGGCAGGAAGUUGCUUUUCAGCCAUUUAAAGGGAUGGAAUUCGACUCAGAGAAGGAUGCAUUCGAAUUUUUCAAUGCAUAUUUUUGGGAAAUUGGAUUUGGUAUCAAGCAUGGCAAUAAGUACAUCAACAAGCACGGAUUCAAGACAAAGCAGGACCUUUUGUGCUCAUGCGAGGGAACUCACAAAAAAUUCAACUCUAGGUCUAGCAGAACAAACUGCCCUGCUAUGGUUAGGUUGCUUUGCACCGACGACGACGGAUGGUACUAUGCAGAGGUGGUAUUAGAACACAACCACGAGUUGGCAGACAGUGUAGGUGAAAGAAAGUUAUGGAAGUGCCACAAGUACGUCAACGCAUCUAUGAAGGACAAUGUUAGGCACUUGCGUUCUAACAAUGUUUCACUGACCAAGGUAUAUGGGGUUAUGGCCGACAUUCAUUGUCAGAGUAAAUGA
rnacentral:rRNA from 1 species